GCCUCUUGAAUCACUAUAAGAGGUCCAGCCUGCCCAGUGACCCUGUUCAACGGCCGCGGUAUCCUAACCGUGCGAAGGUAGCGUAAUCACUUGUUCUCUAAAUGUGGACUAGUAUGAAUGGCAUCACGAAGGUUAUACUGUCUCCUUUUUCUAAUCAGUGAAACUAAUCUCCCCGUGAAGAAGCGGGGAUAGCACUAUAAGACGAGAAGACCCUAUGGAGCUUUAAACAACGCAGCAUCUGCCCCACAAUACUAGAAUUUCUGAAUUAAAACUUCCCUGGACAGUAUGACUGCAAGUUUUUGGUUGGGGUGACCACGGAGCAUAAUAUAACCUCCAUGCUGAAAGAAUCUUUCUAAGCUAAGAACCACAAAUCCAAGCAUCAAUAAAUUGACAUCCAUUGACCCAAUACACUUGAACAACGAACCAAGUUACCCUAGGGAUAACAGCGCAAUCCACUUCAAAAGCUCUUAUCGACAAGUGGGUUUACGACCUCGAUGUUGGAUCAGGGUCUCCCAGUGGUGCAGCCGCUACUAAAGGUUCGUUUGUUCAACGAUUAAAACCCUACGUG
rnacentral:rRNA from 1 species